GCAGAGAGUGUGUCACUGGUUCUCACCCUUGGCCUUCAGCUCGGUCCUGGUAAUUCUGCUGUGGGGAGCCCGGGGCCCCGGGAGCGGGUGUGCUGUUGGGGGUCAUCAGGGAGACUGGAGAGCUAGAUUCUGGGGCCUCCUCUGUCACUGUUGCCCCUGAGGUUUCUGGGGCACCCUCUGAGGGUUCUGUGUGAAAGGAAAAGGAGUUCUCCAACAUCAGCGGAGUGAUCUGAUAUUAACAGGCACUCCAGGUGUUUCUUCCAGUGCCCGCUGAUCUCUCGUACUAGGGCCUCGCUGUCGGGAGCCAAACUCUGAAGAUGCUGCAGCCUUUCCUCCAGGGUGUGCGAGGCCUCCAACACAGGAGCUGGAUCUGUGGAAACAGACACACAAACAAAUCUCUGUAGAGAGAACUCCUAGCAUUCACAUGAUAUCCAUACACUCCUACUUUUCAAAAAAAGCAAAAUAGCUGUUUUACUGUGUGCGCUGCCUGUAAAGCACAUUACAGAGUUUUCUGCAUCGCAGUUUCAACAGAGGCAGACUAUUCCACUGAGACUUCUUUCCAAAGAGUGACUCUUAGACUCUUCCGAUUCAGGCGCCUUUGAAAAUUUCACAGGCUGGACCUAAUGACACAAGUGCUGUUCCGACCCUUCACAUGUACAGAAAUCAAGUCUAAUGAGUCUUCUCACACGCUGAUGAAUGGCAAAGAAGACAAAAAGACUGCCAUGAAUAUGUCCCAAGUAUACACCUAGGCAAAGUGUAGAAAAAGUCUGCUCCUGAAAAGGGGGUAAAAAAUAAAAAAAGCGAGAUUCUUUAGCACAACAGAGGAGCUGUUUUGCAAUGCAUGCGCGGCAGCACCGGGCCCAUGGGGCCAACUAGGAGGCUGUUUCUCAGCUAACAAGUCUCCUCUGUAUCAUUUGAUCAUUUAAAUUAUUAUGCCAGGAAUUCUCAGGAGGCAGCUCGGCACUCCACAUCACAGGGCUGUUUUUAAUCUUCCCCUUCCCUUUCUUCCCCUCCCGAAAAGUUCAACAGCUCAGAGAGAGAGAGCUGCUCCUGUUGUGUACCUGCCUGCCGAACACCAAAGGAGGUGACUUCUAGUGCCAAAGCACAGAGAGGGAAGCUCAGGGGAGCUCCUUGACAAGGGGGGAGGCAAGAUGUAGAGCCGUGAACACACACACACGCACUGACACACACACACACACACACACACACACACACACACACCGCAGCCCUUCAAAACUCUAAAAGAGGAGGAAAAUCGCUGCUUUGCUGCACAAACUUUUCUCCCACAGCUUUCAUCCACUCAUCUUAAGACUUCUGUGUGGAACCCAAUUGGAUCCCUUCUUCAGUAUGGGCACUGACUGAAGUGACUUUUCAUAAGAAGUUGGAGCCACAGACGUUUAAACUUUGCCAGAUGCCACAGAGAGAAUGCAAACUCUGAGCCAACAGGCCACGAAAACAAAUGCUCAUCAGAGAGCCAAAACUUCUGCAACGUGCAAUUUGUUGAAAUCCUGGCCAUACAUUGCAGCUCGCCAUAUUUGCAUUUUCAUCAGACAAACAUUUUGGGCCAUUUAAUUGAUUGAGCUAUUUUUCCCAGGACCGUUUACAGUCAAACAUUGUCUGCAUUCAUUGUUACACCAACUGUGGAGAUAUUGCAUCAGUCACAAGGGACAUCACUAUUAAGAGCACAGCUCUUCUAAGACAAACAGGAUGACUUAAAGCACUGCUAUUCCAUCGACCCACUGUCACAGAAAUCACUUUAUCAGCCUCUUUCCCAUAUAUCCUUUCAACUUUUAAUGAUCAAAGGACAGAGAUUAUAGUAAGGGAUCUCUCACACAUGGACAAGCCGGGAUUAUCAAUCAGUGGCAGGGGAGUAAAGUAAAGUCAAAUUUAAAGUGAAGGGAUAUAACUUAAGUCUGUAUACAAAAUUAACCCCAGUCAAAGUAGAGCAGCGGGGAUUCUCUCUAAGGGCCCGGGAUCUACAGUUACUGAAGGAGAGUCCGGAAAGACUGCUGAUAACUUUGGAAAAUAGAGCUACUAAUUGAUGUUGCUAAUAAGAAGCAGUGGAUCUUCUUUUUAGAGCAGCUCUGAUGGUAAAUCCAGGAAUUCAACAAUAACCCGACCACUCACCUUCCUGUUAAUCAAGAAAUAUAACACAGCUGACCAGGCAUAAUGUACAUCAGGUGAAUCGGGUUCAAUUUUUAAUUCAUCUCUUAUCUUAAUUGUAGAUGAUUGGAUGUCCGCUCUGAGGUCAUGAUAACUGAUCGGGCAACAGCAGCUCAUUUAAACUAAUAAAUCACAGGAGAUUUAAUACAUUAUCUUCUCUGGUGAACACAGGUCCAGCUCUAGAGGCAUCACAGCCACUGAGAAGAGGUUCAGUAACGUCACUGUGAAAACAUGAACACAUCCAUUCACUCACAAUGAGAAGCUGUCUGCUAUUAAAGCAUAAUUCUGGUCUAUUACAACUUUUUUUGUUUUGACCAUCACUUCUGUCAGUUAUAAUAACAUUGUACUCACUAAAGUAAUUGCUGAGAUCUGGGAACAUGAUGACAUCGCUACAACGAGGUCCAAUGGGGUGAGAAAGCAGUAAAACAAUCAGACUUAAUCAGUUUAUAAAGAUUUACAACAAUUUCUUUGUAUAUAUUUACUCACAACUACAGUAAGUACAGUAGGACAAAAUUUAACCAGAAAUCUGAUAAAUGUGAUGCAUGUCUACAACUUAUAUUAACUGUGUGGACUGUAGUUCUGUGCUGUUCACCUUUGUUUUCUCUUCUAAAUAUGUUUGGCUAACCAAACCGUCUGACUGCUGGUGUUUCUUGCUCGAUCUGACCUCUUUUUGUACCCAGACUUCAGAAAUCAACAGAAAAUUAGAGGAGAAUAAUAAACAACCAUGUAUACGAAAGAGAAAAAUAGUAAGGAUGUGUCAUGGUAAUCUGCAGACUGACUUAGAAAUGAGUUAGGGUAAUCCAAUUGUAAAUAAAGGAGAUUUGACUAGUCUGUGUUUUGAAAAAUGAGUUUGAUAAAUGAUGCUGAAGGAGAGCGUUUGCUGCUUUUAUUGAAAAAUUGAGAUUUAACCUUUUUACGCGCUGACAGAUUGGGAUAAAAACUGUAAAGAAUAUUUGAAAAUGUUGGUUAUAAUUUUGUAGGUUUUGUAUUUAUGGUCAUUUACAUUUCCCUUUUAAUUUUCUGGAUCUAGUGGGAGUCAAUAUUGUGCUUUGUAAUUUUUUUAAAUUAUAUUAAAUAUUAAAAAAGGUGAGAUGCAGCAGUAUACUUAGUAUCUGUGGUGAUCUAUAAGACAUGUGAUCAAGGUUAUGGACUGUAUAUAAAGGAACUGGAUGAAGGCAAAGUAGUGAAAGUGUUUGCUGAAUAAAGCAUGGUGUACCGGA